AACGAACGCUGGCGGCAUGCCUAACACAUGCAAGUCGAACGAACCCUUCGGGGUUAGUGGCGCACGGGUGCGUAACGCGUGGGAAUCUGCCCUUUGCUUCGGAAUAACUCAGGGAAACUUGUGCUAAUACCGGAUGAUGUCUUCGGACCAAAGAUUUAUCGGCAAGGGAUGAGCCCGCGUAGGAUUAGGUAGUUGGUGGGGUAAAGGCCUACCAAGCCGACGAUCCUUAGCUGGUCUGAGAGGAUGAUCAGCCACACUGGGACUGAGACACGGCCCAGACUCCUACGGGAGGCAGCAGUGGGGAAUAUUGGAAAAUGGGCGCAAGCCUGAACCAGCAAUGCCGCGUGAGUGAUGAAGGCCCUCGGGUCGUAAAGCUCUUUUACCAGGGAUGAUAAUGACAGUACCUGGAGAAUAAGCUCCGGCUAACUCCGUG
rnacentral:rRNA from 1 species